CCUACGGGAGGCUGCAGUGGGGAAUAUUGGACAAUGGGGGGAACCCUGAUCCAGCCAUGCCGCGUGUGUGAAGAAGGCCCUCGGGUUGUAAAGCACUUUCAGUGAGGAAGAACGCCUGGUGGUUAAUACCCAUCAGGAAAGACAUCACUCACAGAAGAAGCACCGGCUAACUCCGUGCCAGCAGCCGCGGUAAUACGGAGGGUGCGAGCGUUAAUCGGAAUUACUGGGCGUAAAGCGCGCGUAGGUGGCUUGAUAAGCCGGUUGUGAAAGCCCCGGGCUCAACCUGGGAACGGCAUCCGGAACUGUCAAGCUAGAGUGCAGGAGAGGAAGGUAGAAUUCCCGGUGUAGCGGUGAAAUGCGUAGAGAUCGGGAGGAAUACCAGUGGCGAAGGCGGCCUUCUGGACUGACACUGACACUGAGGUGCGAAAGCGUGGGUAGCAAACAGGAUUAGAUACUCGUGUAGUC
rnacentral:rRNA from 1 species